ACGAACGCUGGCGGCGUGCUUAACACAUGCAAGUCGAGCGGUAAGGCUCCUUCGGGAGUACACGAGCGGCGAACGGGUGAGUAACACGUGAGCAAUCUGCCCUUCUCUUCGGAAUAACCAUUGGAAACGAUGGCUAAUGCCGAAUAUGACCUCGGAUCACAUGUUCUGAGGUGGAAAGCUCCGGCGGAGAAGGAUGAGCUCGCGGCCUAUCAGCUUGUUGGUGAGGUAAUGGCUCACCAAGGCAUUGACGGGUAGCCG
rnacentral:rRNA from 2 species